rnacentral:tRNA from 1 species
GGCCUCGUAACUCAGCUGGUAGACCAUGCGCGUACAAAACAUGGGCAUCGUCCAUGCGUGGGUUCGAAUCCCACCGAGGCUA